rnacentral:tRNA from 1 species
GCGCCGGUGGUGUAAUGGCGAGCAUUCCCGCCCGGUCAGCAGGAGGUGUGGGUUCCAGUCCCGCCUGGCGCU